rnacentral:rRNA from 1 species
AUUGAACGCUGGCGGCAUGCUUUACACAUGCAAGUCGAACGGUAACAGGCCUUCGGGCGCUGACGAGUGGCGAACGGGUGAGUAAUGCAUCGGAACGUGCCCAGUCGUGGGGGAUAACGCAGCGAAAGCUGUGCUAAUACCGCAUACGAUCUGCGGAUGAAAGCGGGGGACCUUCGGGCCUCGCGCGAUUGGAGCGGCCGAUGUCAGAUUAGGUAGUUGGUGGGGUAAAGGCUCACCAAGCCAACGAUCUGUAGCUGGUCUGAGAGGACGACCAGCCACACUGGGACUGAGACACGGCCCAGACUCCUACGGGAGGCAGCAGUGGGGAAUUUUGGACAAUGGGCGCAAGCCUAAUCCAGCAAUGCCGCGUGCAGGAAGAAGGCCUUCGGGUUGUAAACUGCUUUUGUACGGAGCGAAAAGCCCUGGGUUAAUACCCUGGGGUCAUGACGGUACCGUAAGAAUAAGCACCGGCUAACUACGUGCCAGCCGCCGCCGUAAAAC